UCAAGCGAACAAGGGCGCAGGGCGAAUGCCUUGGCACUGGGAGCCGAUGAAAGACGUGAUAAGCUGCGAUAAGCUUCGGGGAGCUGCAAAUAAGCAUUGAUCCGGAGAUUUCUGAAUGAGGAAACUCACCUGGGUUCAUACUCAGGUACGUUAUACUGAACUUAAAAAUAGGUAUAUCGAGGGAACCGCCUGAACUGAAACAUCUAAGUAGGGCGAGGAAGAGACAUCAAACGAGAUUCCGUAAGUAGUGGCGAGCGAACGCGGAAGAGGGCAAACCGAGAGUAGAAAUACUUUCGGGGUACGGAGCGCAUUUAGGACUUAAGUUGUUAACCGAACGGCAUGGGAAGGCCGGUCAGAGAGUGUGAGAACCACGUAGGUGAAAACGGAGAGAGCUGCGCAGGAUCCAGAGUACGGCCAGACACGUGAAACCUGGUCGGAAGAUGGGGGGACCACCCUCCAACCCUAAAUACUACCCAGUGACCGAUAGCGUAUAGUACUGUGAAGGAAAGGUGAAAAGCACCCCGGGAGGGGAGUGAAAAAGAACCUGAAACCCUGUGCCUACAAGCACCUAGAGCACGUCAAUGUGUGAUAGGGUACUUUUUGUAGAACGGUCCGGCGAGCGAUUGUAUGCAGCAAGGUUAAGGACUUAAGGUCUGGAGCCGAAGCGAAAGCGAGUUUGAAAAGGGCGUUAAGUUGCAUAUAAUGGGCCCGAAACCGGGUGACCUACCCAUGGUCAGGUUGAAGUGGAAGUAAAAUUCCAUGGAGGACCGAACCGACCUCCGUUGAAAAGGCGGCGGAUGAACUGUGGGUAGCGGAGAAAUUCCAAUCGAACCCGGAGAUAGCUGGUUCUCCCCGAAAUAGUUUUAGGACUAGCCUCAAGUUAGAUACCUGGAGGUAAAGCACUGAAUAGCCUAGCGGCCGAGAGGUUAGCGAAGCUUAUCAAACUCAGAAUGCCAGAGUAUUGAUGCUUGGGAGUCAGACAGUGUCAGAUAAAUGUCAUUGUCAAAAGGGAAACAGCCCAGAUCUACAGCUAAGGUCCCAAAGUCAGGUUAAGUGGAAAACGAUGUGAAGAUACGCAGACAACCAGGAUGUUGGCUCAGAAGCAGCCACUCAUUCAAAGAGUGCGUAAUAGCUCACUGGUCGAGCGUCUUUGCGCGGAGAAUUUAACGGGGCUAAACCUGACACCGAAGCUUAGGCAAUACAGCAAUGUAUUGGGUAGGGGAGCGUUGUAUACGCGGUGAAACAGUAGCGCAAGCGGCUGUGGAGUGUAUAGAAGUGAGAAUGCCGGAAUGAGUAGCGCGAAUGCAGUGAGAAUCUGCAUGGCCGAAAGCCUCAGGUUUCUGGAGGAAGGUUCGUCCGCUCCAGGUUAGUCGGGAGCUAAGGUGAGGCCUAACGGCGUAGCCGAUGCACAGACGGUAGAGAUUCCGUCACCACCAAAAGAGUUAAACACAGGGACACAUUUGAAGUCUCGGAGCCGGGUGUUGGUUCCGGUAGCGAUCGAGGGAAGUUAGUACCGAAGUCCGGGAUGGAAGAUGGCGAGAAAAGCUGUGUGUAUUUCUGCGGUGCCCGUACCGCAAACCGACACAGGUAGGUAGGAAGAAGAUUCUAAGGCCAACGGGAGAAGGGUUGUUAAGGAACUCGGCAAAUUGACCCCGUAACUUCGGGAGAAGGGGUGCUCCAGAGAUGGAGCCGCAGAGAAUCGGCCCAAGCAACUGUUUACCAAAAACACAGGUUUGUGCUAAAUCGAAAGAUGACGUAUACGAGCUGACGCCUGCCCGGUGCUGGAAGGUUAAGAGGAGAUGUGCAAGCAUUGAAUCGAAGCCCCAGUGAACGGCGGCCGUAACUAUAACGGUCCUAAGGUAGCGAAAUUCCUUGUCAGGUAAG
rnacentral:rRNA from 1 species